GAUGAAGAACGUAGCGAAAUGCGACAAGUAAUGUGAAUUGCAGAAUUCCGUGAAUCAUCGAAUCUUUGAACGCACAUUGCGCCCUCUGGUAUUCUGGAGGGCAUGCCUGUCCGAGCGUCAUUGCUGCCCUCAAGCACGGCUUGUGUGUUGGGCCUCCGUCCUCCUCCCGGGGGACGGGCCCGAAAGGCAGCGGCGGCACCGCGUCCGGUCCUCGAGCGUAUGGGGCUUCGUCACCCGCUCUUGUAGGCCCGGCCGGCGCUUGCCGACACAUCAAUCUUUUUUCCAGGUUGACCUCGGAUCAGGUAGGGAUACCCGCUGAACUUAAGCAUAUCAAUAAGCGGAGGA
rnacentral:misc_RNA from 1 species